CCAGGUUGAUUCUGCCUGACGUAGACGCUAUUCCCUAAGAUUAACCCAUGCAUGUUUUUGACAUUUGAAAAAUGGACUGCUCAGUAAUACUCACUUUAUUUUAUGUAUAUUUGAAAUUAAAUACGUUAAAGUGUAGAUAAGAUGUGUACAGUAAGAGUGAGACCUAUCAGCUAGUUGUUAAGGUAAUGGCUUAACAAGGCAGUGACGGGUAACGGUAUUACUUUGUAAUAUUCCGGAGAAGGAGCCUGAGAGACGGCUACUAAGUCUAAGGAUUGCAGCAGGGGCGAAACUUGACCUAUGGAUUUUAUCUGAGGCAGUUAUGGGAAGUAAUAUUAUAUUGUUUCAUAUUGUAAAAGUAUAUGAGGUGAUUAAUUGGAGGGCAAAUCAAGUGCCAGCAGCCGCGGUAAUACUUGUUCCAAGAGUGUGUAUGAUGAUUGAUGCAGUUAAAAAGUCCGUAGUUUAUUUUUAAGAAGCAAUAUGAGGUGUACUGUAUAGUUGGGAGAAAGAUGAAAUGUGACGACCCUGACUGGACGAACA
rnacentral:rRNA from 1 species